AGUUUAUUCCCGUUCUCCAGACACAGAUUCGUCGGUUCAUCCAAAUAUACUCCUCGUGGACGUCUCGUUUUUACAGUCGAAAGCGAUAUGCUGAAGAUUUUAUAGAGGAAAAUUUCACACCGGCUUCGGCUCUCGAUUGCUGCGAAAUAUGCAAAAAAAGAAGAAAAAAGGAAUAAUAGGAUAAUUAGUAAAGGUGGCUGGUGGUAAUUUAAAAAAUUAGGCAAUAUAGAAGAGUGAAUGACACUGAACAUGACCGUCGCACAAUUAGAGGGCCCGUCGUAGAUUGUAUUAUGAAGCAACGUCUGAAAGAAAAUAUGAAUCACACUGAACAUGACCGUCGCACAAUUAGAGGGCCCGUCGUAGAUUAUAUAUACGGGAACGUCUCGUAUAGCAAGAUUUUAAUAACCAAGAACCGGUACAGCAAUAUUUUAAGAACCCAUCAGCCACCAAAAAGAAGAGGAUUGUGUUUGACUGAAGUCAUAAGAAGGGCUAUUGACAAAUAGUAUAUAAAUAAUAGCAGAAACACGGCAAUACGUGACAAGACUUCGAGAUGACAUAUUCAUUCACGCGUAAUAAUUUUUUAGUUAAAAUAGCAGAGUAGCUCAUAGACAUUGGGCUGGAUCACGUUUGGCGUCUUUAUAAAAUUUACCAAAUCAAAACGCUUUGGUAAAUAAUACAUAAAAGAGGCGCGGUUUCAUAUGUUAUCGUCAGAUUAACAUAAACAUUACAAAACAUAUGACUGUCUAUUAUUUAUGUAUAAAAUAUGGUUAACGAUAUUGGAUGCUUCUAGAUAAAUUAUUAAUGAUAUUUAAAGAUUUGCUCUGUAAUUCUUAAAAAGGGCGCUUUUCAUUUUUAUAAAAUGUUUUAUUCACCAGCACAUAAAUGCGUCUUCGAAACACAUAAACAGAAAGCUAAGGAGUUUUUAUCAACGGAACCGUUCUUAAAAGUUAGCUAUGACUAAUUAAGUUAUUAUCAAAUUAUCCGUAAUCAAGCGUUUAACAAAAAGUAUUUUAAUUGAACAAAUAUUUAAAGUAGCUUUAAAAAUUGCUAUAGAUAUAUUUAUAUUUUAUCGAGCCAUAUUUUGCAUUUAUAAUGAAUUUGAUAUAUGUGUUACUACUUGACUGUAAGGGUAAAUAUCAAUAGCUGGAUAUAAUGUAUUCAGGUAUAAUGAAAAGCUAUCUUUUUCACAAAGUCUUCUUUUCUUAGUAAGCAUUAAACAAAGUAAAUUUAUCAAAGAUCCUGAAACAAAUUUUUUUAUGGUUUUAAAUUAUAAAUAUGAUGCUCAAAUUAAGAUUUAUCAAUAGUGUAGGUUCCAAAAAGAAUUAUUUAUAAAGAUAUUACCGAAUUUAACAUUUCAUGUAAAUAAAGGGAGGUAAUAAAAAUUAUUUUCCAUAAAGUUUAAGUCAAAUUUUACAAUAAGAAAUGAAUGCAUAUAUUUUAAUGAUUACAUAUAAUAUGCGCAAAUAUUUGCAGUACAUAUUUCACAUGUUCUUCAAUGUUUGAAAAUUGUUUUAUUUGCCUAAUUAUGUACAUAUAUAUAAUUUCACUUAGUGUGGUUAACAACAUACAUUAUUAUCUUUAACAUAUUAAAUUUGCAAUCUACAUUAAAUCGAUCUGUUGCUGACGUUUUAAUAAAGCACGAUUUGAGUAAAUACCUAAAUUACGAAUACCUGUUACAUUUGCUGUAGUCAUAGGAACAUAUGUAAACUUAAUACCUGUUCAAAUAGUAUAUCUUGAUAUACUUUAUAAGAAGUUCUUUUAACACAAGUACUAAAUGUAGAACAAGUAUAAUCGCAGGGCGUCAUUGCAUAUCACCAGAAGAAACAUUGAAAUAAUCAUUUUGCUUGAUUAUUUUGUUCCAAUGGCAUAUUUUUUGUGUUCGUAUUGUUAAGUUUUAAGAUCAUCCCUUUUAGUGUCAUCUCUUUUGCCUAAAAAUAAAUGUUAAGACUCUAGAUGUCAAUAUAUUGUGCUUAUCUUAAUAAUACAGUUAACAUGUUUUAAAUGUUUUAACAUGAAAACCAAUAUCACACUAUAAGGCUUAGAUUAUAUCUUGAUAAAACUCAAUGACAAAUUUAGUACUUGGUUGAAACAACGUGAAUGCAUAUGAAAACUAAUUUUGUGAACUUUGAACGUUUGUAGAUUUCUAACAUUCUAAAAAUAUAACACAUGCUUUGUAAUACAUGUACCUUUGAAAGUUGUGUACAUAUUUAAGACUUUUGCUAUGUGUUUUUGCUGAAGACAAUCUAAAAAUAUAACACAUGCUUUGUAAUACAUGUACCUUUGAAAGUUUUGUACAUAUUUAAGACUUUUGCUAUGUGUUUUUGCUGAAGACAUUCUAAAAAUAUAACACAUGCUUUGUAAUACAUGUACCUUUGAAAGUUGUGUACAUAUUUAAGACUUUUGCUAUGUGUUUUUUGCUGAAGUCAUUCUAAAAAUAUAACACAUGCUUUGUAAUACACGUACCUUUGAAAGUUUUGUACAUAUUUAAGACUUUUGCUAUGUGUUUUUGCUGAAGACAUUCUAAAAAUAUAACACAUGCUUUGUAAUACAUGUACCUUUGAAAGUUUUGUACAUAUUUAAGAAUUUUGCUAUAUGAUACACUAUAAUUUUAUAUUUUUGUAUAUUACCAUUUUCUUUUUUCACUUCAACAUUCAAAUUUGUUUACUACUGUAAAGUAGAAAUGAUAAGAAAUCAUUCUUGUUAUAUUUUUAGUUUAUUGUACUAUUGUUUUUUAAUUAUUAUAUAUUCGUUUUAACAUAAAAGAUUUUUGUUUUCAGAUCUGCAAAUUAGGCU